CUCACAGGUCAUGUCGUCACUGCAGGAAGUCUGCGUAGAGACUCAUGCAGGGCAGGAACCCGGAGGUAGGCACUGAGCAAAAGCCGUGGAGGAGAACCGCUUACUGGCUUGCUUCUUGUGGCUUACUCAGCCUGCUUUCCUAUAGAACCCAGGACCGUGGGGGUGGCACCACCCACAUCGAGUUGGAAUCUCCCACAGCAAUCAUUAAUCAAGGAAAAUCAAGAAAAUGGCCUACAGAUUUGCCCACAGGCCAAUUUCCUGGAGGCGUUUUCUCUGCUAGUAUUUCCUUUUCGCAGAUAUGUCUAGGUUUGUGUCAAAAAAAAAAAAA
rnacentral:lncRNA from 1 species